GGGUGGGGUAGCCUCUCAGGCAGGUAUGAACGGGAAGCGGGAAUCGGAACCGGGUGUUUUGACUGCAACAGACUGGAGACCUGGCCAGUCCCAUUCUCCAUAGUGAGAUGGAGAAACAGGGUUGGAGGGAGGGGACUUCGUCUGGGUCGUUAACGGUGCGGUGAGUGGCUGGGAGGGAGUUUAGCCCCUGACUUCGGGCCGUGGCUCCUGGAAUGUUGCACUGGUGCACAGAGCCGCUUCUGAAGUUCGGUGGACUCGGAUUCGUAUCCUGCCUGGAACAGUUUCUACCUGAGUGACAUAGGGCAAGUCGCUUCCCUUCUCGGAUCCUACUUGUAUCUGAAGACGUGGCACUUAGAAGGAGCUCAGUAGCUCAAUAGCCGCUAGUUUGGACUUUUAUCCAAGGGAUAGUAAAGGGGAUCACUGAUUUUUUGUUGUUGUUGUUGGUGGUGGUGGUGGUGAGAUAGAGUCUUGCUCUGUCGCCUAGGCUGGAGUGCCAUGGCGACAUCUCGGCUCACUGCAACCUCGCCUCUCGGGUUUAAGCAGUUCUCUGCCUCAGCCUCCUGAGUAGCUGGGAUUACAUGCGCCUGCUACCACGCCCGGAUACGCCCAGCUAAUUUUUGUGUUUUUAGUAGAGACGGGGUUUCACCAUCUUGGCCAGGCUGGUCUUGAACUCCUGACCUUGUGAUCCACCCGCUCAGCCUCCCAAAGUGCUGGGAUUACAGGGGUGAGCCACCGAGAGGGACCACUGAUUUUUAAACCUUCAGUUAAACUUGCUUGUGACAUCUUUAAAUAUAAAAUUGUAAAUUUUUUAGUUGGCAGUUUAUGCUGAUGUCCUGGAUUAUGGGUUAAAUUAGAAGGAAAGUUUCAGCAUACAAAUCAAUGACAGUACAUGCAAAAUGUCAGAUGCAAAACUCACAAAGGCAAUCAUCUGUCCCUUGUAACAUCAGUUAAGAUCAUGUAACAUCCGGUCCCUGCUGUAUGUUGAGCUGCCUCCCAAGCCUUUGAUAUUCAUAGACUAAUGCAUUGCUUGCCAUGAGUUUGGUGUGAUUUCCCCCCAUCUUAUGGAUUAAGAAAGUGAAAUUCAGAAAUAAUGACUUGCUCAAGGUCACACAUGCUGAGUUAGACACAGAUCAGUCCUAUGCCCAAAUAUGUGCCCUAACCUACCACCAGCCCGUUUGAAUUAGCAGAGACUGAGCUAUGGGCUCAGCCCACUCCAGCUAAAAAUGUGAAGAAAACGGCCAAGUGCGAUGGUUCAUGCCUAUAAUCCCAGUACUUUUGGAGGCAGGUGGAUCAUGAGGUCAGAAGUUCAGACCAGCCUGGCCAAGAUGGCAAAACCCUGUCUCUACUAAAAAUACAAAAAUUAGCUGGGCACAGUGGCAGGCGUCUGUAAUCCCAGCUACUUGGGGGGCUGAGGCAGAAGAAUUGCUUGAACCUUGGCGACAGGUUGCAGUGAGCCGAGAUCGCACCACUGCACUCCAGCCUGGGUAAUAGAGUGAGACUGCAUCUCAAAAAAAAAAAAAAAGGUGAAGAAAACCUAAGUGGUCAAGACAAGAAUGAUCAAACAGGUCACGUGUGAGGCUCUAAAUGGGAGUCAAGGUGGUGACAGAGCAAGAGCACACCCAUUCUCAGGCAACGUGUUGGUGGAAGGGGCUUGUCAUACAAGGCUCAUCUGCUUUCCUGGUUCCUCUCACUCCCAGGGUGGCAACCAAAACUACAUAUGAGGACCAGCACCAUUUUGGGGCACCAGAGCUUAUAACCUCUUCAUCUCUACCCAGCUGGGGCCAGGGACCACUCUCAGCACCCACCUCAGCAGCUGACAUCAAGGCAGACUUGGGAACCUGGAAGCACUCUGGAGAACCUUUUCCUGAGACAUGGAGCUUUGGGGCCGAAUGCUAUGGCCCCUCCUGUCUGGCCCAGGGAGGAGGGGAGGUAUCCGGGGCUGGACCUUCAGCUCAUGGCAACCCCAUCCACCUCUGGCUGGGUUAUCCAGUGCCACAGAACUGGUCAACCACUGGACAAGGGUCUUUGAGAAGAAAGGUGUCCCUGAGGCCCGGGAAUCCAUUUCAGAGCCUGAGGCCAGCACUUCGGACGCAGCCCUUGACCUCUCAGCAACUACAGUGUAUCCAGGAGCUGAGUAGCCGUCGAUUACAGAGGAUGCCCGUGCAGUACAUCCUUGGAGAGUGGGACUUUCAGGGGCUCAGCCUGAAGAUGAUGCCUCCCGUGUUUAUUCCUCGGCCAGAAACAGAGGAACUGGUUGAGUGGGUGCUGGAAGAGGUGGCCCAGAGGUCCCAUGCUGUGGGAUCCCCAGGCAGCCCCCUCAUUCUGGAGGUGGGCUGUGGAUCGGGAGCCAUUUCCCUCAGCCUGCUGAGCCAGCUUCCCCAGAGCCGAGUGAUUGCUGUGGAUAAGGGGGAAGCGGCCAUCUCUCUGACCCAUGAGAAUGCUCAGAGGCUUCGGUUGCAGGACAGGAUUUGGAUCAUCCACCUUGACAUGACCUCAGAAGGGAGCUGGACACACCUGCCCUGGGGCCCCGUGGACCUGGUCGUCAGCAACCCUCCCUAUGUCUUCCACCAGGACAUGGAACAGCUGGCCCCUGAGAUCCACAGCUAUGAAGACCCCGCAGCCCUGGACGGUGGGGAGGAGGGCAUGGACAUCAUUACCCACAUCCUAGCCCUGGCACCCCGGCUCCUGAAGGACUGUGGGAGUAUCUUCUUGGAAGUGGACCCGAGGCACCUGGAGCUUGUCAGCAGCUGGCUUCAGAGCCGGCCUGAGCUGUACCUUAAUCUUGUGGCUGUGCGCAGGGACUUCUGUGGGAGGCCCCGGUUCCUGCAUAUCCGGAGGUCUGGGCCAUAGCAUGGCUGCCCUGUGGAUGCCUUGUCAGUGCCCCCAGCCUGACCAGAGGGAGGUGGAUGGCACUUUCCAGAACCCAGGCUCCUUUUGAAUGGUUUAAUUUCUCUACUGCCCUGGGCUUCAGCCUUUGUGCAACACUCUUCAUGCCCUGAGCACACACCUUCCCUUUGCCCAGGCAGUGCAGACACUGCCGCCCUUAGGACACCUGCUGUGGGCUCUCCCUGCCUCCCCUGCACCAGUGACUUUCUGUCCCAUGCCUUCAGAAACCUUCUUAUCCCCCUCAUCUCUGGAGGCCCCUGUGGGUCUGGCAUACCCAGGUUUAGUAAAUGUCUACCAGUAAGUUGACUGCAUGCAUUUUCUAGAAUAGAGCUGAGACUUCCCAUGUGGCCCACAUCUGACCUGGCGGCCCAUGUAUUCCGGUCAUUAGGGAGAGAGAGCCAUGAGGACCUGGCCUUCUGCCCAACCCAGGCAGCUGUUCAAGUUGAGCGAUGGCUGGUUCGAAGACUCAAGUGCACCUGAUCCCUGUGCGGCAGCCACACCAGAACAGGCUGUCCUUGGCGGCCGUAGGGGCAAGCGCCAGGUUUCCUGGAGCUCUUGGCUUCAGCCAGCCCCCAGCCAGAGUGCUGGCUAGGACAGCAACCUGAUCUCCCCCUCAUGACCUUCUGCCGUGGACAAGCCCCCUGAAACUGGAUUUGGGACUGUCAAAGCAAAUCAACCCCUGCUGUGGUAGGCCGAACAAUGACCCCCCCGCCCCCAAAAUGGCAGUGUCUUAAUCACCUAAACUGAAACAUGUGACUGUUACCUUCACAUAGCAAAAUGGACUUUUCAGUUGUGAUUAAGGAUCUUGAGAUAGAAAGAGUAUCCUGGAUUUUUCAGGUAAACUGAGUAUAACCACAAGGGCCUCUGUAAAGAACGAGGCAGGAGUGUCAGAGUGAUGGAAGAAAACGUAACAAUAGAAGCAGAGGUUAGAGUGAUGCAAUUGUUGGAGGAAGAGCCAUGAGCCAAGGAAUGCAGACAGCCUCUUCUCCCCUGGGGCCUCAGGAAGAACGCAGUCCUGCCAACACCUUGAAUUUAAUUUGAAACUGAUUUCAGAUUGCUGACCUCCAGAAUAGUAAGAUGAUAAAUUUGUGUUGUUUGUUAUUUUCAGCCACUAAAUGUGUGAUAAUUUGUUACAGCAGCCACAGGAAACAAAUGCAGAUUGUGGGGCCUAAAGUGAGUGCUGCUGUAACGCAUGCCUACAAAUUGAAAUGGCUUUGGAAUUGCAUUAUGGAAAUGGGCAGAGGCUGGAAGAAUUUUGAGGAUCAUGAUAAAUUGCCUCAACCACUUCUUCUCUGAUAGGUGGUGUGGCCAGGGGAACACUUCCUCAACCUUCAGGCCUAAACUGCCCAGGCCACCUUUUUAAACUAAUAUUUGGAGAUAGGUGUCCCUUUCCCAGAGUGAGAAGACUGGAAGACUGACCAGUAUGGACCCCAGAAGGGAGUGGGUGAGGAAUGGGACUGGGAUGUGAGGAGAAAGUGCAAGGCUGGCCUCCAUGAUCCAUCUCCAGAGACUGGGUCCAGAGAGGACCUCAGAGACUGGGACCAAGCCUGUUCCUGCUCUCCUGUGGAGUUAUGUGAUAGGCCCAGGACCCCUUGGGUGUGUGAGGAUGGGCAGGGGCCCUGUACUCUCUGGGUUGCAGGUACUGCAUCUGUGAAAUGAGCACAGCAGCCCCUGAUUUUGAGCUGAUGGGCCUAGCCCCUCCGUGUAAGCCAUAGGCCUGAGCAGAGCUGUGUCACUAUUCUGCUCCUGUGGUGGAAUGGGGCCAUCCCUGGGGUUCUCAAUCUCCUGGUCCCCAAAACUGAAGCGGCCAACUGGUGCCCUCAGCCCUGUCCCUGUCCAGGCUGGGACUAGGACCUCCCUCUCCAGGGGUACUAAGGGACUCUGGAGACACCAUCCCACCUGGCCAAGGCUUGGGGCUCCUAAAGCCAGUCCUAACCCAGGAGUCACAUGGAGAGCUACUGGGAGGCCAGACAUGGGUCUUACGCUGGGUUUCAGAACAGAAGCUAGGAGACAGACAGCAUAGACACCUGUGUUCAGGCUUGGCCUAAAUCACCUGAAUACACUUUGGAUGAAGCCAGGAGGGCCUAUGUAUACUGGAAUGGGUGGAUCAUGGCAAGAUGUAUGUUCAAUCCCUGAUCUUUUUUCCCAGUGAGGAAUGGGGCUUACUUGAAGUAACACAGCACUUGACUCCUGACUCCCAAUAUUGUGCUCUCAUCUCCCAUUGCUUCCAACGGCCUGUGGUUAGUUAAUUGAGUUAAUUAGGGGGUGCUUAUAUGGCUGUCCAUGUAGCUACUAAACCCAGGGAUUCUGGCCCAUAAAGCCCACUGGGCUAGUUUCGUGGGCAGAUAACAGCCACAUUAGGCCAACUGUAGCCCCUGGGUGUGUGGACAGAUCUGGGUCCCAUCUGAAGCUCUGGUAGCUGUGGGAGGACAGCAGGAUUUCCCUCUUGCAGAAUGAGUGGGUGCCUUACCCUUUGAGGGAACUGGCUGUACAGCCCCCAGCCUCUGCCCCCCAGGGCCCUCCUGAGGUAUCUGGAAAGACCUUUGGGAUCUUUAGCCUCAUAACCAGGAAUCAGAAGCUUCCAAUUCUAGGGCCCCCUUUUCUUCCAAAGACCACCUCACACAUACAACAGUCCUACAGGAAAAUGGACAGGAAAGGCCAAUUUUACAGCUCACAUAGUGGGAAAGGCAGGGAAGCCUACUUCAGUGUCACUGAAAGCCCUGAACUGAGCUGACCUUUUAGGUACCUGCUCCAGCCAUGCCUAAAGCGGGAGAGUGAGAGAGCUCAGAGUAGCCCUGCCCCAUGGUAGAUAGGCCUGGCUAAGUGGCCCCUUUCCCAGGGGCUGUGGUCUUUUCCAGACGCUCUGCCUCUCAGAGCAGAGGAUGUCACCUUAUUGCCCCCUCUUGUACUAGGUCUGCAGCCCUCUUCUGGGGCAUGUGGCUUGGGAAAUGGAGGGAUCAGAUUGUUGGUACCUGAAGUACUCAGAGAUCCUUGUGCUACAAAUGAGGAAACUGAGGCUUAGCAGGAUGGGGCAGGGCUAGGGCAGAAAGGAAGCUGCCAGUCCGUCCUUUGCCACCUGAAGACCCCCACCCUACCUUGCUUUCCAGGAAUAGGCUGGCUUGCCUGGAGAGGCGGCCAAGUCCCUCUGCUGUUCCUGGAAAUCAAUGUGAGGCUAAGCUUUGUGAGCUAGCAGAGCAAACCCUGAGCUGGCACUACAUGAGCCUUCGUUGCUCUCGUACCUCAAAGCUAGGUGAGGGAUCUGGGCAGCCCUGCCUGGCCUUCCUCCACCUCCUUGCCUUUUGAGCUCCUGCUAGGCACUGGGCCACAAGCAGCUGCUUUGCAUUUAUUGGUUUUAAAUCUCACACAACCCUAUAGUUAGGGGUUAUUUAUUUUAUUUUAUUUUAUUUUGAUUUUGCUAGAGAUGAGGUCUUGUGUUGCCCAGACUGGGCUCAAACUCCUGGGCUCAAGUGAUUCUCCUGCCUUCGCCUCCCAAGAAGCUGAGACUGUAGGUGCCCAUCACUGUACCCGACAGAUGGGGGUUUGGGUUUUGUUCAUUAUUUGUUUUUUUGAGACAGGGUCUUACUCUGUCUCCCAGGCUGGAGUACUUUGGCAUGAUUAUAGCUCAGCUCACUGUAGCCUCGACUGUUAGGCUCAAGCAAUCCUCCCACCUCAGCCUCCUGAGUAGCUGGGAUUACAAGUGUGAACCACCCUGCCUAGCUAAUUUUUAUUUUAUUUUUUGUAGAAACGGGGUCUUGCUAUGUUGCCAGGCUGACACAUGGGCUUUUAAAUUGUCUCCACAUUGCAGUUGAGGAUACCAACACUGAGCAGGGAGCAGUUAUGGGUCAGGUUGCACAGCUGGACUGGAAGGGAGGAUGAGGCUGCCAUUGGUGCCCAUUUGACUCUCAGAGACACUGAGGCCAACAUAACUAGGUCUUGGGCUGUCCCCUGCAGAGCUUAGUGCAGAGGUCACUUGGGCUUGUGGACCCUUGGAACAGGAGCAGGGGUUUCCAGGGCUGUCCCUAGAGGGCUUUCUAGACGACCUGCAGUUGCUCCUGGGUGCAUCUCUCAAGCCCUACUAUGUGUCAGGCACCAGGGGAAUGAUACCAAGUGGAGGGUCCUGUAGAAUAUGGUGCAUCCUGUGCCAAGUACUUCCAGGGUUAUCUUACUCAACCUCCAUGACAUCCUGAGAGAUGGAGGCUGUGAACCCCUUCAUUAUACUGAAAAGGAAACAAAUAGGCCAAGAAACUUGCUCAUAUGCUGGCUGAGCUGUGGUUCUGACACAGGUUGAGUGACCUGGAGCCGGAGGCCUUGGUCAUCACACCAGGCUUGAGGAGGGGUAGACAGGACAGCCAUAUACCAGGCAGUAGGGACAGUCUGGGCAAAAGCCUGGAGUCCUGCAGACACAUGGGUAGGGAUGUGUAGGGUUGAGGUAGUGCUGGGGGGGGGGUGGGUGCCCUUGGCUGAGCUCUGAAUGACUUUCUGGGGCCCAGGGACCUAAAGAGGUUUUUUGAGCUGAGUUACAGGGGUAGAGAGACAUUGAGGCUGCUCUUUCUGGCUGUCAGAAAAAGGGGGCUGGGGCAGGAGGCUGCAACUGUCCAGGGUGUGGAGGCAGCUGGGAUCUGUAGUAGUGGCAUCAGAUAUUCUGGGGCAUAAGUGACUCAAAACCAUUGCUGAGGGGUUGGAUGGGGGAUGGCCAGGACCAGAAUGGGCCCAGUUAUCUGAUUGGGACCUGGGGUAAAUGGGGCCAUCCUGAGUUGGAGACUGGGUGCUGGGGAGAGUUGGGAGUUUGAGUGUGGGAUGCCUUCAGAAUAUUCUAGAGGCAGUGUCAGGGCAUCUGGAGAUGCAAAUGUGACCAUGUGGGGACACAGUCCAAAGGCAGCCCUUGAAGUGGAGUUGGGAAGACCACUCUCCUGGGCCUUAGUGCUGGCAACAACAGUACCGGGCACCUGGCACUAGUUUACACACUGUCAUAAAUCCAUCUGAGCACAUCAGGGACCCCUUGUUUGGUCCAUUGUACGGAUGAAGGGACUGAGCUCUUCAUCAACUUGCCCAAGGUUACAUACAGCUAGCAACUGGCUGUGCUGGACUUUGAACCUAGUCCUCUGACAUCCCAGCCAGGAGAAGGGUGAGCAGGCUGCAGAGGCCAAAUGCAGCCCAGAACCUCAACCCCCACAGGGGCCACAGGAUCUAGUGAGGUGCCCCACAGCCAACGUGGGCUUCAGGGUGAAGGAAAAAGUGAUGAAUCAAACAGAAAGCAGCAGAUGCAGAUGAGCUCUCUCCCCAGCAGGCCAGGCACCAGAUUUUCACGCCCACAGUAAAAGGGCCAGGCAGAGCGCUAGGUGUGGGGCAGGAGAGGGUAGUGAAAGUGCUUGCCGCUGAACCCAGACUCUGAUGUACUCCGGAUAUGGUGGCACGGACUGACAGACACCCAGCCCAGUUCCACACUGAAAGUUGACUGCAUCUCAGCAUGUGAGGAUAUGAAGUUUGCCUUGUCUGGGGGAGCAUUUUAGGUCCCUAGGCCUGUGAGAUUCUGGGAUGAGGCACCAAAUGAAUGAGUCUAAAAACCCUUGUUGAAGACACUCCACAGCUCAAGAACUGACCAUUGCUCCCUACUCUCUUGGCCUGCACUGAAAGCCACUGUUUCUUCAUCAUUCUGCUCAGCCCUCCUGCCUCAGCCCCAUAGAGCUUUGGAGCUCCUUCUUUCAAAGCACAUUUCAUGUGCAACUCAAAUGUGUAUUUUAAAAAAGAUAAAGUGAGCAUCUCGUUAGCAUAAAUGUAUUUUGUAAGUGCAAAUUCUUUCUUAGCGUGAGAGGCAAAAAGCAGUGAACACAAAUGUUUGAACUCGGGGCUGGGAUGGGAGUUGUAGUCUUAUGUUGGUCUCAAUGUCCAGUUUCUUUCAGUGUUUGAUUUUGGUGGCAAGGGACUAAGUGACUGCUCAUUCUCACAGGUGAGUGUUUACAAUUCCUAGCUCUGUCUGAAACCCACCUUGCAGUCUUUUUGAUUUACAGAGACAGUAAGAGAAGCCUUAUUUCAAGCUUAGCACAAACCCUGUUCUCUGCGCACAUAGGAAGGAUUCUAAUGUGUCAUAAUUUGGUUCUGUGCCCAUUUGAGUCUGUAUGUGGUUUUCAAAAUUGGGUUUUCAAUAAUUAAAAAUAUGAGCUGGGCAUGGUGGCGCAUGCCUGUGGUCCCAGCUACUCAGGAGACUGAAGUAGGAGGAUUACUUGAGCCCAAGAGUUUGAGACAGCAGUGAGCUAUAAUCUUGCCACUGCACUUCAGCCUGGACAUUAGAGUGAGACCCUGUCUCUAAAAAAGUAAUUUUAGGCUGGGCAUGGUGGCUCAUGCCUGUAAUCCCAACACUUUGGGAGGCCGAGGCAGGCAGAUCACUUGAGGUCAGGAGUUCAAGACCAGCCUGGCCAACAUGGUGAAACCCCAUCUCUACUAAAAAUACAAAAAUUAGCCAGGUGUCGUGGCUUAUGCCUGUUAUCCCAGCUACUUCAGAGGCUGAGGCAGGAGAAUCACUUGAACCCAGGAGGCGGAAGUUACAGUGAGCUGAGAUCAUGGCAUUGCACUCCAGCCUGGGCAACAAGAAUGAAACUCCAUCUCAAUAAUAAUAAUUUUAAAAAAUAUAUUUUAAAAAUGAAAGAAAAGAAAAGGAAGAAGGGAGGAGGAAGCAAGAAAGAGAGAAAGGGCUGGAUGCGGUGGCUCACACCUGUAAUCCCAGCACUUUGGGAGGCUGAGGCAGGUGGAUCAACUGAGGUCAGGAGUUCAAGACCAGCCUGGCCAACAUGGUGAAACCCUGUCUCUACUAAUAAUACAAAAAUUAGCUGGGUGUGGUGGCUCAUGCCUGUAAUUCACGAGGCUGAGGCAGGAGAAUCACCUGAACCCGGGAGGCGGAGGUUGCAGUGAGCUGAGAUCGUGACACUGCACUCCAGUGUGGGCAACAGAGCCAGACUCUGUCUCAAAAAAAGGGAAGUGAAAGUAAGGAAGAAGAAAAGAAAGGGAUGGAACUCCUGUGAGGUGGUUGAUGCCCCAUAUGACCAUUUCCUCCCCGGAGGUCUGCCCUGACAGCUCCAGCCUCCACAGUCUAAGGCUCCCAGCACUCCCACCCAGCAUCUGUCACAGCAAAUGAAUCUGGGCUACAUGCUCCUGGGAGCCCCACCUGACUCCAGUAUGGAUGCUCUAAGUGCUCCAUCCUGGAUCUGGGGCAGAGGGGGAAGCCCCAAGCAGUAGACAUGGGCUAGGGGCUUCCCCAGGCUGUUGGUGGUGCCUCCAGGGGUGGAAAGACUGGGGAACCCUGUGCCCCUGAAAGCCCGGAGUUUCUCUGGUUCUGGGUACCUUCAUUUCUGGGAACUGAUUGUGCUUUGGAAAAAGAAAUGAGAAGCAAACCCUAGGGCCCCAGUAUCACCCCUCCUUUCUGUCUUCCUUCCUCUGUCACAGCCCAGAGCUCAGUACCUCAGCCUCCCUUAGGGCCACUGGGUGGGGCAGAAUUCAAGGUCAGGCAAGGACACAAUAUCUGGAACGAGUCCUCCUUUCCUGUCAACAGCCACCGUGAGGGGUCCUGGGAUUGCUGAGGGCUGAGACCACCUUCCCAGUGUUGGGAAAGGGGUAACUGAGGCUCUCAUCUGACCUGUCUCACCUCCUAUCUGCAGGCCCAUCACUCCUGCACAGUCGUUUUUUGAGUACCUACUGUAAGCCAGGCCCAGGAGGUCAGAUGGUUCAGGUGGGGCCCUGCCCUUGCAGAACUCAUGGACUUGGACAUAGACUCCUCCUAACAGGUUCCUCAUGAGUGGCUGGGUCCUUCCGAUUUUUCUGGUCAGCAGUGGAGAGCCAUGGGAGUAUCACCCCUCAUGAUACCAUGUACACCCCUCAUGGUCCAUGUCUAUAAUCACAGGUGUCCAAGCAGGGCUUCCCUUGCAUGGGGGAGCUCCAGGCUCUAGAAACCAGGUCAGGGUUGCAUGCACACACACACACGUGUGGGUGUGUGUGUGUGUGUGUGGUAUCACCCUGCCUUAGAAGCCCAACCACUGUCUCCAAGUCAUGGGAGUGCAGAGCCCAUGUGAACUCAAACACUGUGCCCCAUUUCAUAGAAAAGAGGGUCAGAGAUCAGAGUGGGCCCAUGACUUGCCCAGUCAUGCAGCAAGGUGGGGAAGGUCUGGGAGGGAAAUGAACCAGAGCGUAUCCACAUCCCUGUCCUUUUUGGCUUCGUGUUUGGAGCUUGGCACCCCCUGAGAACCACACUCCAUUGACCUCUGGGAAAUAGAGGCUGGUGAUCCUCCCAGCAGACCCACCUGGGGAACUAACCACAGGCUCCUCCCAAGCUUCACUGACCAACCCCAGGAUUUCCCACAACACCAGUGCUUUGCUUGGGCUGUGCUGGGCACCUGGAACAAAUUCUUCCUGCCACUCUCCCUCCCUGAUUCCUUGAAUAAAAUCCAGCUUUCCAAAUUUUA